UCCUGACUAGUUCUUCAUAAAUUAAGGUCAAACUUGAGUUAAAGCAGGUGCUUAAUACAGACUAACAUUACACUUAACAUUGAAAAGUACAGAAAAACCAGCAGACUGAAGAUUAAUGUUGUAUGAUGAUAAUCAUAGACCACAGAUGCGUAGUCAACUUUUGUUUUUAAUUUUAGAUGACACAUUCAAGAGAUGAAUUUCACUUUCAUUGCACUCAAAUGAUGUAAUUUCACAUCCACCUCUAUUACCUACACAACGUAACUUCAAGAAGAUUUGUAACAGGGCAUCCAACCUGUGGACUGAGAGGAAAAUAUAAAACAAGCAUAAACUAGAAUUACAUUGUAUGCUGCAAUAAUAUUUAUUUGUUUACGGGAAAUCUCCAAUUCAUCUAAAAAUUGAAUUUAUCUUAAGUCAGAACUUUGUCUCAAUCAAACAUGGAUUUUAAAAAGAUGUUUAAUAAGUUGAGAGGGAAAAAUAAACGGAAAGCUUCUCUAAAAAACACACACGAAAUCCAUCAGCUUUUAACAGAAGAGCACCAUAUUAAAUAUAAUUCAUCUGAAGUGAGUGGAGAAAGCGUGCUCGAUAUUCUCAAAAAGAUUUUAGGUGCACAUUCAAAUCCUCAGGACCUUCAGACUGCGGCUGUCAUAAUAAAUACAUGGGGUAAUAUGAACGGUGUUACCGUGGACAACAAAGAAGGCAGCUAUCCUCAAGAUUGGCUUUGUGAAUUUCAACAGUUAAUAGAUGAGUCUGUAGAGCGACAGUUUCCCAUCCUGCCUGUAAAGAGCACGGCAGUGCAAAGAUUUGAAUUUCUAAGCAGCACUGAGAAUAUGAUGUUUAAUGAGGUGAAUCGAUUAAAACCUGUACUAAAAGAUGCUGGACUGCUGAGUUACCUAAUUCAAAGCUACCACACUCACCUGCUUCCUAAGUUGAACCUGCUUGUGAACAGAGAUCUUUCACUAAAUGAAAUCUUCAGUCUUCUAACAUGGGGAAAACGUGUUUUGUUCAGUCCAGAGUCACAGGAUGUCUUCAGUGACUGUGACCCUCAGAUGUUCUCAGAAUUGUUUGACAAAGAAGAGCAGAGGAUGCUACUCAAACUGAAGGAUAAAAUUUCUAUGUUCUUACAAAACAUUCUGAAAUAUGAGGAGAAAGAUGAUGAAGAUAAUGAGAGGUCAAUUGAUGAUGAAAGGUUCAUCAGGGUGGACCAUGAUGUCACUCAGUGUCUGGACUCUAUUAUUCAAAUUGCUAAAGAAUGUAGUGUGAGUUUGUCGAAUUCAGUACAACAUCUCUGUCUUGAAGAGUUUCACAAUUUUGCUAAGAAGUAUGUAAAUGGAAAGAAAACAUGUCUUGAAAAUCUGCAGCCCCAUAAUGAAAAUACUAGGCACAGGCCAUUCAACUUGUGUGCUAAGAGGAGAAAUCUUUCAGAAAAGAGAGAAAAACUUUUUGAAAAUCUUCAUGCAAACUUUGUUUAUCUGUGUAAAAUAAUCAGCACCUGUAUGCGGCUCAGAUGUUUACCUGGCCAAAUCACUAAUGUGGACAAAUGUGAAACUGUGGACGUGUUAAAGAAGCUUGAAGAUCAGGCUCUAUCCAUUGUGCACGAGAAGAUAAAAUACUCAGCGCAAGUGAGUUUAGAAAGUUAUUUUGAAGAAAGUGAUGAGCAUAUUUAUAACCUGACAGAGGAAAUAGAAAAUCUGUGUGAAUCUCUGCCUCAGACUCCAGCGGCAGAGGAGAUAAGAACGAUCAUUGCUAAUCUAGCAUACGACUGUGUUUCCCGUGUGUAUUUGGAUUGCAUGAUAAAGAUCAAGUUUAAAAAGCUGCAGAAGAGAUGGGGAAAUGUUGAAGAAAAGAUAAAACAAAAUAUUAAACAUUUUCGUGACAAGUUUGCUAAACUGAAUGUCGAUGAUGAACAGAAUCAGCUCCUCGGGAGAAUGAGUGAAGUUUUGUUUUAUUGUGAUGUUGAAACACUGAAGCUUACCUGUGCUGUUUUGUUCAAUCACUUUCCAGAAGACAGUGAGCAAUAUUUGCCCAGGCUGCUGCGGUGGAAGAAAACGUUAUCAGAACAACAAGUCAGGGAGAUUUUGGAUGUGAAUUGGGUGGAAAGUCAACAUCCUGCAUGCAAAAACUGUCCCCAUUUCCUUAUGAACCUUUCCUGUUGUCCUGGUUAUUAAAAUCUCAACACAAUCAGUAAACUUUCCAAAAUUUUUAAAUAAUGUGACUGCUUCAUGAACUAAAAAAAUGCUGCUGUCUAUCAUGGCUUUCAAACAAAGACAGCUCAUUUUGACAAAUUAAGAAAACAGACGUGCUUGCUUUUACUGUAUGUAGACCCAGUAAAAACAACACACUCAACAUUCACUUUCAUAAACUAUUUUCUGAUAUUGAUAGUUUUGUUAUAGAGUUUAACGCAUCUGAUGUGUGUGAAGCAUGUGAGGUUGGUUAUAAAAACAGCUUCAGAUUUCGUUUAUGACUCCUACACCGUCAGAGAAAAAUGGUCCCUAGCUGUCACUGGGUCGGUACUCGGUACCCUUUUAAAAAUCUACACAUCUGCACCAAUAAAGUUCAUAGAUGUAUUUGUACCGAAGAAUGCAUAUUAGUACCUCAAGGUACACACUGAUACGAAAUGUAGUAUGUGUACUUGAAUGGUACAAAUCAGGACCUUAUUAAGUGUAAUGCCUCAUUGACAGCUUGGGACCAUUUUUUCUGAAAGUGUAAAUGGUGGACAGUCAGACGGACAUGUCAUGUUUUUUUUAUUAUUUGCAGUGAGAGGUUUCUUUUAAAAUUGUUUUCUAUUGGCAGUGAGCGUUUUGCACGCUGUUUAUGCAUCCCGGGCGUCCUGUAUUUUUGUUGGAGGAGUGCUCUGAGUGCCUAAAGUUGAAAACAAUCUCUAGGCCUACUCUAGAUAGUGUCCAAUCGAAUGAAUCAAAGGUCAGAGCAAGCAGCCUCUGUUUGUAUAUUUUUAAGUUGCUGCUAACAUGACAUUUAACAGCUGAUUCGACGGUUGCCUAGCAACAUAAAAACCUGCACUUUUUUCGAAUUUUCAAACACAGUUCUUUUUCAAAUUUUAAGGCCCUGUCAACACGUUCACAGUUUUUUUAAACAUAGCUUUUUCUAUGCAGUCUGGCCGUUCAUUCACACAUAAACGCAGUAUUAGGUGACUAAAAACUGCUGCCGUAAGAUUUUCAGUACCUUUGGUUGUAAUGUUGUUGUGUAAUGGGGGAGUUUUCGGCUUAUGAUGUUGUUGUAUUUGCCGAGGCAAGACUGCAAUGGCUUCUGAUAGGCCAACAUGGCUUUACGGUUAGGGAUAGGAUCACCCUCUGUUGGUUUGGCAUGCUCUUGACAGUGCUUCAUACAGGAUUUUGCAUGUUUGCAAAAUAUAUUAAAUAUAUUAAAAAAGUCUACCAAAUAAAAGCAGCAUGGUUUGCCUAACAUUAUGUCUGAUAUAAUUUUUAUUCUUUGCUGUCCUUGGUGUGUUAAGGAGUAAUAGGCCUAUCUAAAAUUAGUAGAUUAUUUUAUGGGUCUUUUGAGUCUGACCUUUAAUUUAAUUGGUCGAUGUAGUUUAUAGACUGUCUAGAUUAUUUAUUAUUUACAUUAUUUUAGUUCAGUUGACUGACGUUAAGUUAUUAGUUUUCAAAACAAAAAUAUGAUCAACCUUGCUUUCAAAUAUUUAUCAUUUGCAAAUUUGCAGAACUGAUCAUAAAGUAUAAAAGCAGAUUUGAAAGAUGUAUUUCCCCAAAGUAAAGAAAGGUGUGACGCCAUGCCGUGCGUUAAAUUAAACACCUGACUCUUAUGAGUGUUUCACUUUCAUCUUCACUUUCACCGAUAACUGACAACUGUUAUGUUUCUGUAAUGUUUGAUAGUUACUGUGUGCUGAUCUAAAAUUAGGAUGGCACAUCCAAGUGAUGGGUUUCACUUUCGUUUAAGCUUAAAGGAUACAAUAGCAUCCAUCUAACUUGUUUCCAUGUAUCCUCGACUAGAGGAUCAUUCCCAUGACAUCAACCUGCUGGCUGUGGGGAAAGUACCAAACACACAAAAAGCCAGGAUCCUAUUGGCUGCUACAGUCUUCAAGGGAAACCCCAUUAAAUGUACCUGGUUUAUGGGUGGGGUUAUCUCACUAUAAAUAUUGUGCUGCAACUGUGCAGUUCUUUAUUCCUUUCAAACAUGAAAUUUAGUGAAAUGCGCAGCAUAAACAGGCGGAGAUUUAAAAAACAUGGCAAAGAUAAAGAUGGUUGGAAUCCUCUAUUGAACAACAUGGUACAGCACACAGAUACAACAAAUGGAGGACAGAUAUUUAACACGGAAAGAACCCAACAGUACCCUGAUCUGAUCUCUACAGAGUUAGUGAAUGGAGAGAAAGCGCUCAAUGUUCUUAAAAAGACUGUAAAUGCACAUUCAACUCCUCAGGACAUUCACACCGC